ACUUCUCCAAUUAAUUAUAUAAUUAUGUUUUCACACUGAGGGAAGUGGAGAGACUUGAUGUGGACUGUUAUCAACAGCUCUGUGGGAGAUCAUCACCUUGAAUAUUACAGAUGAGGACACACAGAGCAGUGAGCGACCAUGUACGGCGCUCGGGGAGCAGAUGUUGGGGGAGUGAGGUGCCUUGCUCAUGGGCACUAGAGAGGAUGAAGAACUGCAGCACCUGAUGUCCUCAGCAGCAACAUGGUGGAGAUCUGAUUUGAUACACUUUAGAUAAGAACCCAGUGUUUUAUAUUUCUGCUUUGCCAUAAGAGACAGAACAUGGUC